rnacentral:rRNA from 1 species
AACGAACGCUGGCGGCAGGCCUAACACAUGAAAGUCGAACGCCCCGCAAGGGGAGUGGCAGACGGGUGAGUAACGCGUGGGAACCUACCUUGUGGUACGGAACAACCAAGGGAAACUUUGGCUAAUACCGUAUGAGCCCGAGAGGGGAAAGAUUUAUCGCCAUGAGAUGGGCCCGCGUAGGAUUAGCUAGUUGGUGAGGUAAUGGCUCACCAAGGCGACGAUCCUUAGCUGGUCUGAGGGGAUGACCAGCCACACUGGGACUGAGACACGGCCCAGACUCCUACGGGAGGCAGCAGUGGGGAAUAUUGGACAAUGGGCGCAAGCCUGAUCCAGCCAUGCCGCGUGAGUGAUGAAGGCCUUCGGGUUGUAAAGCUCUUUUGGCGGGGACGAUGAUGACGGUACCCGCAGAAUAAGCCCCGGCAAACUUCGUGCCAGCCGCCGCAGUAAAAC